GAGAUAUAUACUGUCUCAUAUAUAUUUGAUGAAUUUAAAUUUUUAGUAAAAAUGCUUAAAUAAUUUUAUGGGACGAUAAGACCCUAUAGAAUUUUAUAUUAAUAUCUUAUUAAUUAUUUAAUUAAAAUAUUAAUAUUUAAUUGGGAGGAUUAAUAAAUUUAAAAAACUUUAUUUUAAAAAUAAACUUUGAUUUUAGAAUUAAUUUUUGAUCUUUUAUUAUAAAUCAAAAGAAUAAAUUACCUUAGGGAUAACAGCGUAAUAUCUUUUUAAAGAUCAUAUUUAAAAAGAUGUUUGCGACCUCGAUGUUGAAUUAAGAUAAAUUUUAAACGGAGAAGUUUAAUAAUUAAGUCUGUUCGACUUUUAAAAUCUUACAUGA
rnacentral:rRNA from 1 species